ACUCAAAGGAAUUGACGGGGGCCCGCACAAGCGGUGGAGCAUGUGGUUUAAUUCGAUGCAACGCGAAGAACCUUACCUGGACUUGACAUCCUCGGACCGGCGUAGAGAUACGCCUUCCCCUUCGGGGGCCGGGAGACAGGUGCUGCAUGGCUGUCGUCAGCUCGUAUCGUGAGAUGUCGGGUUAAGUCCCUUAACGAGCGCAACCCUUAUCCCUAGUUGCCAUCAUUCAGUUGGGCACUCUAUGGAGACUGCCGGUGUUAAACCGGAGGAAGGUGGGGAUGACGUCAAGUCCUCAUGGCCUUUAUGUCCAGGGCUACACACGUGCUACAAUGGUCGGUACAAAGGGUUGCCAACCCGCGAGGGGGAGCUAAUCUCAGAAAGCCGAUCUCAGUUCGAAUUGAAGUCUGAAAUUCGACUUCAUGAAGCUGGAAUCGCUAGUAAUCGCGGAUCAGAACGCCGCGGUGAAUACGUUCCCGGGCCUUGUACACACCGCCCGU
rnacentral:rRNA from 1 species